rnacentral:rRNA from 1 species
GAUCAUGGCUCAGGACGAACGCUGGCGGCGUGCCUAACACAUGCAAGUCGAACGGAGUCUGCCCCGCAAGGGACUGACUUAGUGGCGAACGGGUGAGUAACGCGUGAGCAACCUGCCUUUCAGUGGGGGACAACAGUUGGAAAACGACUGCUAAUACCGCAUGAAGCAUAAUGAUCGCAUGGUCGAUAUGCCAAAGAUUUAUUGCUGAAAGAUGGGCUCGCGU